rnacentral:rRNA from 1 species
GAUGAACGCUGGCGGCGUGCCUAAUACAUGCAAGUAGAACGCUGAAGGAGGAGCUUGCUCUUCUGGAUGAGUGGCGAACGGGUGAGUAACGCGUAGGUAACCUGCCUGGUAGCGGGGGAUAACUAUUGGAAACGAUAGCUAAUACCGCAUGACAACAGUUAUUGAAUGAUAACUGUUUAAAAGGGGCAACUGCUCCACUACCAGAUGGACCUGCGUUGUAUUAGCUAGUUGGUGAGGUAACGGCUCACCAAGGCGACGAUACAUAGCCGACCUGAGAGGGUGAUCGGCCCCACUGGGACUGGGACCCGGCCCAGACUCCUACGGGAGGCAGCAGUAGGGAAUCUUCGGCAAUAGACGGAAGUCUGACCGAGCAACGCCGCGUGAGUGAAGAAGGUUUUCGGAUCGUAAAGCUCUGUUGUAAGAGAAGAACGAGUGUGAGAGUGGAAAGUUCACACUGUGACGGUAUCUUACCAGAAAGGGACGGCUAACUACGUG